UAUUCCCGCUCAUUCCCCUAACCUCUCAUCAAUUUCCCUCUCAAUCUCACCAAGAAAAUCAAUUUCCCCCACUCUAAUUUUUCUCUCUCUAAAAUCUCGUCCAUUGUGUUCACUCUGUUUGAAUACGACCAGUUUCACGACUGCACCGACCAAAGAUGAUUGUGCUCCUGUUUAAAUCCCGACAUCAAUUUGGUAGAUAAUCAAUCAUAAAUCUCUAAUUUUAAUUGAUGCGCUCCUUGUUUUCUUUCUAAUUGUUGAUGGAUUUGUGUGCAAUUUCUGUUUUGAGGUGCACUGUAGUGUAGGUACGCUAGGUCAUCUGUGUUGGCAAACCCUAGAGAUGUCGUCACAUCCUCUGCUCCACCGGACUCCGAUGACCUCAAUGGACACCUUAUCCGGCCUGUGCUCCGACCAAGACCAGGGCAAGAAAAGGAGAGAUACAAUUUGUAUUGCACUUGCUGAUGACACCUGUGAAGAACCAAAGAUUAGGAUGAAUAAGGUCGUCAGGUCAAAUUUGAGGGUUAGGCUCGGCGAUGUGGUUUCGGUGCAUUGCUGAUGUUAAGUAUUGGAAGCGCGUUCAGUUCACAUCCUUCCGAAUGACGAUUCCAUUGAAGGAGUUAUUGGGAAUCUGUUUGAUGCUUACUUGAAACCGUACUUUCUUGAAGCAUACCGCCCGGUGAGAAAGGGUGACUACUUUUUGGUAAGGGGAGGAAUGAGAAGCGUCGAGUUUAAUGUUAUCAAGACUGAUCCUGCUGAGUACUGUGUGGUUGCACCGGAUACCGACAUAUUCUGUGAGGGUGAGCCGGUGAGAAGGGAAGAUGAGGACCGGUUAGACGAGAUCGGUUAUGAUGGCGUUGGUGGUGUGUGAAAACAGAUGGCGCAAAUCUGUGAGUUAGUGGAACUCCCAUUAAGGCAUCUGCAGCUUUUCAAGUCUAUUGGUGUUAAACAACAGUUAAAGGCGAACACACAAAAGGCAAGGCCAGACCCCUUGAACACAUGCAAGAUAAGUUGUGUAAUCAGGGCUCGUCAGGCAUUCGGCUCAGUUCAGGUGCGACUAGGAAUUGUUUCGGCUCGGUUCGACUUCUUGACAUAUCAUAUUCCAGGUUUACAGUUAUAACAAGGCCAAACAAAGAUACAUGGAAAAUGAAGAAUGUCAAGCGCGUAUAUUCAUCUUGCUUUAGGUGCAGAAGCAGGAGGGUAUGUUUUUUUAACAACCCAGUUUGGGUUGUGACAGCAAGAUGAAAACUUCGGACACCCUGCUACUAGACACUGCAGGUCCCGAUUUGUCUGACUUUACAAAUCCGGCAGGAGAGGCGGUGACUGCGACUCUGAACGGAUCAAUUGAGAGCUUUAUUGGAUUUUAUGCACGUUUACAUUCAAGUCUUUUAAAUGUUAACUUGUUUCCUAAAAUACAUAAAGCCAUUUCACAUGCCAUGCCAACGUAACCGACAUUGAAAGAGCUUAGUGUUGGGAAUUUCGGAGUCGCAAGGUUGAUUUGCUGGGAAAGCCACUGGUUUUUCAACCCACCGGUUUUUUGAGUAGACCAUUGGGUAAUGCUUUAGGUUGAAUAUAGUGAAUUAGCUGAUGCGGCGAUAAUAAGGAGUAAGUGUGGGGAACAACUAUGAAGUGGGAAAUACGAUCGCUAAGAAAGAGUUAACACAAUGAAUAUUUUACUUGCACGAAGAUUGUGAAAGAGAUUCAUGAAGGCAAUAGAGUUUUGAGAUUUUGUUCAAACACUUUUUAAAUAUUUGUUUUGUAUGUUCGAUAUUUAGACUUAGGUUGACACUUAUUAGUUAGUUCUUUGCAAACAUUUGGAAUCUUUGGAAGAUGAUUGAUUGAACUUUUUAAUUGAAUUGAUUAUAUUAUUAUGA